AUUUGAAGGCAAUCUUAAACUGAUAUCAUUCCAUUAAACAGAUGAAGCGUGUCUAAUGGGAAAACAAAGGGCGGAUAUGGAGACUCGUAGGAAAAUGGAAAAUAAGAGCGCCUACCAUGGUAACCAGCUGAAUCCGAACAACGAGCGUUUCCAAGCGUCAAAGAAAUGAUCCGACGCGUGUGAUUGACAAUUUGAUGCAUGGUUACGACUGUAAAUUCGUAUGACGCAUAAAACAUAUACAAACAUGAAA